GGAUGUGAGCCCAUCUGGCUGCGACUCUGGCACUCCAGUGAUCACCAGGGUUGAUUCAGCUGAACUGGGUGCUAGAUCAGUGUCCCUUUCCUCCCUCACUGCUCCAUGUGCAGCUCCCCCGAAGCUGUGAUCUAGGUCAAUGGCGAUGACCUUCUGGAUAGAGGAAAAAAUAGUUCUACUGAAGAUUUCAAGUGGAAAAUUUGAAAAUUGAUGCAAUUCUUUAGGCCUAAUUUUUUUAUUUGUGAAUUCAAGAAAAUACAUUGGUUUUAGUGCUCCAAACAAAGAUAUAGAAGCAUAAUUUUCCUCUUUUUAAAGAGCAAAAAUUAAAU
rfam:Myotis lucifugus cont2.62619, whole genome shotgun sequence.